rnacentral:misc_RNA from 1 species
UUUCCGUAGGUGAACCUGCGGAAGGAUCAUUAAAAAAUUGGACUCCAUUGGUGAGUUCAUUAAUAAUCCCUACCCUUUGUGAAUUUGUUUGUUUGAAUAAUUUUUUUUUCCAAAAAAAAUUAUUGAAUGUCUUUCCUUGUUUUGGUGGAGCUUGUAAAGUGAAACCAGGCAGGGGAAUGGCAAACAAUAAUUAUUUUUGAAAAAGACCUUUUUUUAAAAUUAAGCUUUUUGUAUUCAUUUGUCUAAAAUUAAUUUUUAUAAUAUAAAAACAACUUUUGACAAUGGAUCUCUUGGUUCUCGCAACGAUGAAGAACGCAGCAAAAUGCGAUAAGUAGUGUGAAUUGCAGAAUACGUGAAUCAUCGAAUCUUCGAACGCAUAUUGCACUUUUUUAGUUUACUAAAAAAGUAUGCCUGUUUGAGUAUCAGUAAAAUAUUCUCAUAAAAACAUUGUUUUUUUUAUGGUUAUGAGUGUUUUACAACGAUAACAAGUUGUUUCACUUUAAAUUCUUUGUUAUCAAAAAAAUCAUUAAAAGCUAAUUUUAAAGAUUUUUUAAAAUUGGAUAAAAUUUUCCCGUAAAAAGGAAUAACCUAAACAAUUUUAAAAAAUUAAAAUUGGUUUGAUUUUUUUUGAAACCCAAAGGAAAAAAAAACGAAAUUAACUUGAUCUCAAAUCAGAUAAGAGUACCCGCUGAACUUAAGCAUAUCAAUAAGCGGAGGAAAAGAAACUAACUAGGAUUCCCUCAGUAACGGCGAGUGAAGCGGGAAGAGCUCAAAUUUGAAAUCUUCAAGGUUUUACCUUGACGAAUUGUAGUUUAAAGAAGUGUUUUCUGUUGGAGUUUUGGUAAAAGUUCUUUGGAAAAGGACAUCAUAGAGGGUGAGAAUCCCGUAUUUGACCAUUAUCUCCAGCUUUGUGAUACACUUUCAAAGAGUCGGAUUGUUUGGGAAUGCAGUCCAAAAUGGGUGGUAAAUUUCAUCUAAAGCUAAAUACUGGCGAGAGACCGAUAGCGAACAAGUACCGUGAGGGAAAGAUGAAAAGAACUUUGAAAAGAGAGUUAAACAGUACGUGAAAUUGUCAAAAGGGAAGCGUUUGACACCAGUGUUGUUUUCUCGAAAAUCAAUUAAAAAAGGCCGGAUUUUGUGUUGUAUUGACUUUAUCAGCUUUCUGCACUCUUUUCUUGUCUUUUUUAAUGCACUUUUCGUUUAACAAGUCAACAUCAAUUUCUUUUGUUGUAAGAGGGUCAUUGGAAGGUGGCUUUCUUUUCGGAGAGAGUGUUUAUAGCCUUUGGCCUCUGCAAUCGGAGAGAUUGAGGUCUGCAGCGUAGAUCCUUCGGGGUUAGAUACAUUUGUGCUAAGUUAUAGCCUUUCAUAGACAACUUGUUGACUAUGAUCAGUCAUGUAGCUUACUCGCUUAUGCUAUUUUACCUACGCUUAGGAUGUUGAG